rnacentral:rRNA from 1 species
AACAUCGCCUCCUGCAAAAAUCAAUGUAUAGGAGGUCCUGCCUGCCCAGUGACAACUUGUUAAACGGCCGCGGUAUUUUGACCGUGCUAAGGUAGCGCAAUCACUUGUCUUUUAAAUGAAGACCUGUAUGAAUGGUGGAACGAGGGCUUAACUGUCUCCCUUCUCCCGUCAAUGAAAUUGAUCUGCCCGUGCAGAAGCGGACAUAUAUAUACAAGACGAGAAGACCCUUUGGAGCUUAUUGGGGCGACCGCGGGGGAAAACAAAGCCCCCACGUAAAACCGAGAGAGACAUCUCUAAGCCACAGAACAUCUGACCAAAAGAUCCGGCCCACAAGCCGAUCAACGAACCAAGUUACCCUAGGGAUAACAGCGCAAUCCUUUCCAAGAGUUCAUAUCGACGAGAGGGUUUACGACCUCGAUGUUGGAUCAGGACAUCCUAAUGGUGCAGCCGCUAUUAAGGGUUCGUUUGUUCAACGAUUAAAGUCCUACGUGAUCU